rnacentral:rRNA from 1 species
AUGGCGGAUGAAGGUACAGGAUCGCGGUGGAAGAGGGACAAGGAGAGCGCGGAAGAUCUCUUGGCCCGGCUGAACUUGCAGGAGGCAGAAGAUGAUGAAUUUGUAUGGGAAGAGGAAUUGCCAGAUCAGAUGGAACCGGCCAAGUGGUUGUCUAUAGCUAGGGUUCAUACUCUUAAAACUUUCAGCCCAAGUGCGUUGUAUGGAGACAUGUACUCGGCAUGGAACCCAGCAAGACCAGUGGUUUGGAGAAGGAUCAAUGAAAACCUCUUUACAACACAAUUUGGAUGUUUAGCAGAUUGG